GACAGGAUAAAAAAAAAACUUUAUUUUUCUCUUGUUUUCUCUGAAAAGGGGCUGGAUCCGGCCUAGGGGAUCGCCGUCCAUCUGCCACGGCCACCGGUCAUCGGCGAUGGCUACCGCCGUCUCCUGUGGUCAGAUUUCAUAAAAAAAAAGUGCCCCUUGUGGCCAUUUUACCUUCUUCAACCCAAAUCAAAUGCCAAAAUCCCCCCAAAAAAAAACACCAAAAUACCAAAAAAGCAAAGGAACCUUUCAGUUCUCGGUCUCUCCAAUGCGACCUUUCAGCGAAUCCCCGAGGAUCCGACGGUCUUUCAAAACGAAGGGAGACGAAUGGAGACAACAGCAGCGACAAUGAAGGUAGUAGUUAGUGACGGUGGCAGAAAGCGUGCCCUUUCCAUUUUGGUGAAACGACAGCAAAAGCCCGUUAGGCCUCAAGCGUCAUGCCCGUUCACGUGGAGGGCAGCGACGCUGGAGGCUAGGAUUUUUUUUUAUUUUACAGAAACUUAGUUUAGGUUAUGGACUGGUAAUUUAGGCUUAGGGUUUUUUUUUUUUAAAAAUGGACUUGUAAUUUUUAUUUUUAUUUGGUUUGGUUUGGGUCCAGGCAAAAAUAGCCUAUUAAAAUAUAUAUUUGGAAAUUUUAAGGAAACUUCUCUUUUAAACAGA